rnacentral:rRNA from 1 species
GUUGUUGCGGUUAAAAGCUCGUAGUUGGAUUUCUGCUGAGGACGACCGGUCCGCCCACUGGGUGAGUAUCUGGCUCGGCCUUGGCAUCUUCUUGGAGAACGUAUCUGCACUUGACUGUGUGGUGCGGUAACCAGGACCUUUACUUUGAGGAAAUUAGAGUGUUUCAAGCAGGCGUGCGCCUUGAAUACAUUAGCAUGGAAUAAUAAGAUAGGACCUUAGUUCUAUUUUGUUGGUUUCUAGAGCUGGGGUAAAGAUUAAUAGGGAUAGUUGGGGGCAUUCGUAUUUAACUGUCAGAGGUGAAAUUCUUGUAUUUGUUAAAGACGGACUACUGCGAAAGCAUUUGCCAAGGAUGUUUUCAUUGAUCAAGAACGAAAGUUAGGGGAUCGAAGACGAUCAGAUACCGUCCUAGUCUUAACCAUAAACCAUGCCGACUAGAGAUUGGAGGCCGUUACCUGUACGACUCCUUCAGCACCUUAUGAGAAAUCAAAGUCUUUGGGUUC